UACAGAGGUGGCAAGCGCUGUUCGGAAUUACUGGGCGUAAAGCGCGUGUAGGCGGCUCUUCAAGUCAGGCGUGAAAGCCCCGGGCUCAACCUGGGAACCGCGCUUGAGACUGGAGAACUAGAGUUCGGGAGAGGAUGGUGGAAUUCCCAGUGUAGAGGUGAAAUUCGUAGAUAUUGGGAAGAACACCGAUGGCGAAGGCAGCCAUCUGGACCGACACUGACGCUGAGGCGCGAAAGCGUGGGGAGCAAACAGG
rnacentral:rRNA from 1 species